UUUUUUUAGAAUUUUAUUUUUUAGUCAAAAAGCUAAAAUUUAUUUAAAAGACGAGAAGACCCUAUAAAUCUUUAUAUUUUGUUUAUUUUAAUUAUAAAGAUUAUUUUUAUUAUAAUAAAUUAAAAUAUUUUAUUGGGGUGAUAUUAAAAUUUAAAAACUUUUAAUUUAUAAAAUCAUUAAUUUAUGAAUAAUUGAUCCGUUAAUAAUGAUUAAAAAUUUAAGUUACUUUAGGGAUAACAGCGUAAUUUUUUU
rnacentral:rRNA from 1 species